rnacentral:lncRNA from 1 species
AGGCUUGCUUAUAAAUUGUUUUAGAGUAAACAAUCUCUUUGUACCUCAUUAUGCACUUUACCAGGAACAUGGUGUGCAGUUCUGGUCAGCAGCCCUCAACAAAGACAUGAUUAAAGUGAGAGAGUCCAGAGAACGUUAACUAACAUGGGUGAAAGAAUAGGCUUCUCUAGUGAUUAAUUAACAUAAAUUGGUGAAUUCAUUCAUUGAAUGUUUUUCUGAAUGUAACAUAAAAAGAGGGCUCUGUUUACAAAGAGUGGAGGCUGAGGGAGAGGAUAUGAUUAAAAUCUAUAAAAUUAUGAAAACUGUUUUCUUAUUUAUUGAAUUCUGGUAUACCAGAACUCAGAAACUUUUUUUUAAUGAUUGUUUUUUUUUUAUUAUAGUUGGUUUACAGUGUUCUAUCAGUUUCUACUGUACAGCAAAGUAACCCAGUCUCACACACACACACACACACAUAUACACAUUCAGAACUCAGAAACUUAAAAAAGGUCUCCAGUGAGUAGAAACUUGUGGAAUGCAUUAUCCCAGGAUGUGGUACAGGUUGAAAAUAUAAAAUAGAUAUAUUAAAAGUUUAGAUAACCUCAUGAAUAACAGAUUGGGGGAACAGUGACACUUGAGGGUAUGUAUACAAUUCUUUUUUUUUUUUUGCUUUUUAGGGCCGCAAGUGCAGCAUGUGGAAAAUCCCAGGCCAGGGGUCAAAUUGGAGCUGUAGCUGCUGGCCUACACCACAGCCACAGCAACUGGGAUCUGAUCUGUGUCUGUGACCUACACCACAGCUCAUAGCAAAGCUGAAUCUUUAACCCAGUGAGUGAGGCCAGGGAUCAAACCUUCGUCCUCAUGGGUGCUAGUCAGAUUCAUAUCCACUGAGCCAUGAUGGGAACUCCUCUUUUGAAUUUCAUUGCUGUUUUUGUGAAGUCAUCUGUCAAACUGUUGCUCUUUUGGAAGCAAUCUGUCCUUUUUUUUCUUUCUGGCUGCUUUCACAUUUUUUUGUGUAAUGCAGUUUUGCUGUGAUGUUUCCUUAGAUGCAUUUUAUUUUAUUUGCCUGCUCAAGAUUCACUGUGAUUCAUUAAUUUGGAUUGGUGACUUUUAUCACUUCUAAAAAAAUUUAGUUAUUACUUCUUCAAAUUUUGUUUUUCUUCCUGCCUCGUUGUUUUUCUCUUCUCCUUCUGGAAUUCCAGUUAAACAUAUAUUUGCUCUCAUUCCUUAGCCCAUAUUUCUUUUUUUUUAGGACUGCACCAGUGGCACAUGGAGGUUCCCAGGCUAAGGGUUGAAUUGCAGCUGUAGCUGUCAGCCUAAGCCACAGCCACAGAAAUGCUAGAUUCAAGCUGCAUCUAUACCACAAGCUCAAGGCAAUGCUGGAUCCUAAAACACUGAGCAAGGCCAGGGAUCAUACCUGCAUCCUCAUGCAUCCUAGUCGCUUAGCCCAUAUUUCUUUUUUUAAUUUUAUUUUGCUUUUUUAUUUUUAAAUUAAAGUAUAGUUGAUUUACAAUGUUUCUUCAAUCUCUGUUGUACAGCAGAAGUGACCCAAACACACAUGGUUCCCUGUGCUGCACAGUAGGACCCCAUUCCAACUUAUCCUUUCCAAAUGUAACAGUUUGCAUCCACCAACCCCAAAUUCCCCGUCCAACUCACUUCCUCCCUUCUCCCCACGGCAACCACAAGUCUGCUCUCUGUGAUCGUGAUCUGCUUCUGUUUUGUAGCUAGGAUCAUCUGUGCCAUAUUUUAGAUUACACAUAUAAGUGAUGUUAUAUGUUAGCCCAUGUCUCUCAACCUUUCUUGUAUAUUUCCAUUUUUUUCCUACUAUGCUGCAUUCUGAAUAAUUUCUUUUCCCCUACCUUCUAGUGUACUAAUUUUCCCCUUAUCUAUGUCUAGAUUGCAGUUGAAUCCAUUCAUUGAGGUUCUUUUUUUAACCUUUUUAUUUGGAAAUAACUUUAAAUAUUUAAAAUAUAUGGAUAAGUUGAAAAACAAAAACAGCGCAAAAAAAAAAAUCUGUAAACUCUUUGCCCAGAUACACCUAUCAAGAUUGUACUCCAUUUGCUUAAUCAUUUGUGCUCUGUCUUGCUCUAUGUAUAAUUUUAUAUAUUAUAUAAACUAUAGGUAUUAAUAUGUAUGCAUGUAAAUAAUUUUUCUGAAGCAUAAGCAUAACUUUAUGUAACUACAGUAAUCAAUUUCAAAAAAUUUACAUGGUAAAUUUAAGUUCAACAUAUAGAAAUUAUUGGUACUGUGCUUUUAUCUAAUCUGCUAUAUUCCAUUUUUCAGUUGACUCAAGAAUGUCUUUUACAGCAUUUCUAUCCCCUCUAGUAGUGACCAGUCUAGGUUCAGGUAUUGUAUUCAUUUGUCAUGUCUCCUAAGCCUCCUCUAAUCUGGAACACUUCCUUAGCCUUUAUCUUUUAUGAUAUUUACAUUUUAGAAGCAUAGCCCCCAUGCCUACCUUUUAAAAAUAAAAUAUUCCUAACUUGGAGUUUGUCUGAUGUUCCCUCAUAAUUAGAGUCAGGUUAUACAUUCUCGGCAAGUAUACCACAUCAGUGAUGCUGUGUCUUUUUCAGGGUGUCUUAUCUGUAGGCAGUGAUAACAGUUCUGAUCUAUCAGUCAGUUUAUUGAUUUUAUCACAGUGAAAUUACUUUUUCCUCUCUUUUACAAUAAUAAGUCAUUUUUGAGGUAACACUUUUAGAUUAUACAAAUACCCUUCCUCUGGAAGGGGGAAGUGAGGAGUUGCUGUUCAGUGGGUAUAAAGUUUCAGUUAUGCAAGAUGAAUAAGUUCCAGAAAUCUGCUGUACAACAUUGCGCCUGUGGUUAAAAAUGUUGUAUUGUAGACCUAAAAGUUAGCUAAGAGGGUAAAUAGCAUGUUGAGCAUUACCUUAAUUAAGAAAUAAACUCUAUGUCUAUAGAAGAUAAAUCAAGUAAGUAAGUUAGAUGUGCAUGCAAAAAAAAAAAAAAAAA